CCUUUGUCUUGGCUUGCAGGAGAUGCCAACAGACUGUUGAGAGGUAUCAAAGAAAGCUGGAAGACUGGGAGAACAGAAACCCUCAGCUAAAUUUGAAGAGCCCCACAAGGACGUAAGAAGGACAAGGUCCUGGUUGGUAGUGGUAUUUGAAUCACGUCAGACCUCCAGCUGUGGAACUUGCAGGUGAUUAUUGUAUAACUCUCUGCAGAUCUUCUCAGUGAUGGAAAUGUUCUCCAGAGCUUCAGGACAUAGUACUACUGGCAAAAGCAAAAGCUCUUCAGAGAGUGACCAUGAAAAUAUCGAGAAUAAGAGAAGAAAAAAAAAAAAACAGAGGAAAAGGACAAAAAGAAGACAAACAAGUAAAAACUAAAAAAAAAAGCAAAAUCUUUGCAGGAGUUCUGACCACAUUCUAUGACCUUUGGAAUGUAAAUGACUUCAGUGGGCUCUGUGCCCUCUGAUUUUGACCCCCAGUAGAAGCAGGGCAUGGAGAACUACUACAUGAGCCAAUAUAUCCUGUUAGCAAGAUGGCCAAGGUCAACUGGAGUGGGGCUUACUCAGAAGCACGAUGGGCCUUGGUUAAAAAGUCCUGGAUGCAGUGUACAAGACCUGCAUAGCUUUUCUGAUCACAGUAUCACAGUGACUUUAUCACUGUCACCUCCUCAUUGUGAACCGGCCCAUCCCUUGGAGGCAGAGAGUCAUUGUGGAGGUGGCUAUGUACUCAUUUGAACUAAAAUUAUCCGGCUGCCAGCCUGCUUGAUAGCAAUUACAUCUAAAGAGAGAGAACCACUGAACUUCAUGUAUUGGAUGAGAUGGCUCCAGGAAACAACACCACAAAGUUAGCAGCGUGAAGUGGAUGAUGACGUGGUGUCAUUCCCAGAAAGUCUUCUGCUGUUGGUAUCUCGUGAUGCAUCUUGACAGUGUGAUGGCAUCCCACAGCUCUCUGUGCAUCUUCAGGCAAAUGUCACACACUGAAACUAAACAGGAUCUUUUUUUUCUUGUUCAUCCGACGUGCUGUUUUCUGUGCCCGAGAUACAAAUCUGUAUUUGAAAAUGCCUUAACCCUUUGGAAGGACAACCCUUCCUCUCUGUGCCCCAGGAGGGAGUUUUGCAGCAGAUGUGGGGGACGUCGUGUUGGCGUUGGCACCGAGGUCAUUCUGCAUGCUCAGUGCACUCCCAUUGCAAAAGAUGGAGAAGUAUAAUUGUUCUCAUUAUCAUUGUGAAAACUCCAAGGAAAUACAAUCCCAAGAUACUUUACCUUGACAAGCAACCAGGAACAAUAUCAACAUCAAGUCAUGGGAUUUGGAGGCUGUUCCAGUUUCCUACUUUUAUGCACUAUAACAAGACACUGAAACGUAAUUGCAGAAUUCAAGUAAAGCAAUUCCGAUGUGUUUUAUCAUCGAAGAAAGAAAAAUAAUUUCCAUGACAAAAUGGCAAAGCUGUGUUGCUGUUUAUGAAUCACUGUUGGAUGAGACUCUAAGAACUGAAGAGGAGUAAUCAGUAAUAAACCUCAAACCUUUGGAGGCUAUUGGCUGCCCAUCAGCACUGCAAAUUUUGGGUACUCUACUUUGUGUACCCAAACAGAAAGAUAUUGGGAGUACCUCUGAGGAUGGGCAUUCCCAUUUACCAUGAGCUACCAUGGGAGCAUUCCCCCACUGAGGUGGGUCUCUAGGCUGGCAUAUGCCUAAAGAAACAAGUCACCAUGAAGCAACACAAGCAGAGGCAAUAUGUGGUUUUUUUACUCUGCAAACAAAAGCAUACCAUGCAGCCAGCAUCCUCAGGCACUGCUGUCCCCACAGAGCUCCUGGAUGGACAAGAGGAGUUCCCUGGAGUGGAGGAAGGUAGGAAUGGAAAGUUUUCCUGAAUGUGUGUUCAUCCCUCUAUAACCAUCCAUACCUGGAGCCAGGGCACUGAAGGGAGCUGUGCUGAAUCACCCAGCUGGAACCUCCUUUUCUUUCGGCAUUUCAAAACCUAAGUGGACUUCCUAAAGGAGGCAUGUCUGGUCUCACACCGUGCUCCAGCAGCAGUGGCCAGAGAGCUCUGUUCUACAAGGCAAAGCAUGUGUGCUCGCCACAUUGUCUUUCACGGUCUUCUUGUGGAAUCAGUGAGAAAUGUAUACUUUUGGUUCCAGAAGAGAACAUGAUCACAACAUCGGGAUUUCCCAUAGGACGGAAAUUCUGAUCCAUCCAUAUAAUCCCAUGAGGGACUCUUGUUCAUGACUAGGAAAUGUGGACUUGUUCCAAGUGCAGUACAGGCUCCAAAAGUCCCAAACCACCAGAAGCUCCCAGAGCCCCAAGAGCCCACAAUCAAAGUAAAAAUCAGAGGGCAACAGAUGGAUGGAGACAGAUGGAGAACCACAAAGAAACCAGGAGACACAACAGAGACAAAGGCCUGGAUAAAUGCCUACCAGAGCGUGGUUAAAUGUAAAAAUUGGUUUGUUUACAACUCAUACCUGUUGCAUUGAAGAUUUCUAGCUCAACCUACCUAAUAAGACUUCUUCCAGUUGGAUUUUCAGUGAGGAAUAGUAAGCUAUGUUAGACUCUAAAGCUGAAGAUAAUUGUAAAGCCUUUCUGUGUCUUCAGAUUUACUGAGAAACUGCAAAACUGAAGUGCAAGUAUCAUCUCUUCUCCGGGAGAAGUUAAAGGGAAUUAGAUCAACUAACUAGAGGAUGCAGUGCCAAGCUCCAUCAGCAUGCCAGGAUUCAGCCUGCUGUCACUGUCAGGUGCUUUCCAAGCCACUGGCUGCACCGGAGUCUGUUGGUGCUGCAAACCUUGUAAUUGAUGUGCUCCCAGCCAGGCCCUCUGGGAUCCAGAUGUGGUGAGGGUAAAACACAUCAGCCCUACAAAUCUGCCACAUGGGACAGAAACUUUCCAGACCUCGGACUUGACUGUCAGCCCUGUCCUUGCUGGCUUCACACCACAGGCUGCAAAAGCCGUACCCCGCAAGGGAAAGCCUUGGCUGUGACUAGGAACUAGAGCUACCUGUAAUUGCAGAGAUAGAUGGAGGGAGAGCCUUUGUGGCACAGGCCUGUGGCUACCAUCACUGGGGAAGCUGUUCUGGUAUUAACAGCAGUGGGAGAUUUUUACCAGUUGAGAGCCUUGAAACUAAAUGGAACCCCCAUCUGUGGAGGAGAUAGCUAUUGCAUUUUGCCCCACCUUUCCACAGCUUAUAUGAUCACAGAGAAGAGUGGCUUGGAAAUGACAGCAUUGUCUUGCGAUUCAGGGGAGGUGAAACCAAAUCUUCUCCAUGCCAUAUAUUUCCUUGUCAAAUCACCUGUUUCUCAGAGAGGGAGAAAAAUUUGGGUCUUUUUCUAAGUUGCUAGGUGAACGAUCAAGUGUUUAAGACUCUGAAUAAAUGAUGUGUGCCAUAAAAUAACAAAGAUAGAAUAAAUAGAAUUUAUCUUGUCAUGUGGCUUCUGCAAUAGGAUUAACUGGAGCACUCACUGUAGUUAAUAUGUAAUUAAUGUGUGGAUGGACUGUUGUCAGCUGUGUACAUGUUUGAUGUCAGCAAUAUUUUAAAGUAUAAGAAAUUAAUAAUGAAGCCUUCUUGACAAAUUUGUAUCUUGAUAAUGCAGCGCUCCCCCCCUCAUUUAGCCUCCAGGUAUCCCUUGUUGGAAGAGUUAAGCUAGCUUGACUGGGUCAACUUCUUUUCUCUUGGUCCCUUCCCAUCUUCAGAGGACUUUACAUCUGGUUUCUCUGGUGGUUCCUGUUAUUAUUUUUUGAGUGCAUGCUUUAGUAUUUGUAAAGCUCACAAGGAGGACCCUCUUGUCACGAGCAACUACUUUGAAGCAUCCCCCUGCUUCUCAGCACUUUGCUUGACAUGUAGUUAAACAAAUUUACACUUGGUAACUGUUCCUUUCUUCUUCUUUUUUUUUUUCUACCUGGUCCUAUGAGUGAGCACUCAAGACAGAUUUCAUUUCCUUUAAUUGCUCCCAACCUGUUUCAUGCUCUGCAAGCAAGCCUGAGGAAAAGCAUUCAAGGCAGCAAUCUCCAGGCCUUCCAAAUUACCCAUUCUUAUUUUUGUAUUGACCCUUAAGUUCUAUGCACAGGAGUUGUGGCAUUUGGCAAGCCACGACCUGGUUUGAAUUUUGCUAUGGCAAGAUGAGUUUCCAAACCACCACCUGCACUUACAUUUUAACUGUUAAAAUGCCAAUACAGUAUUUU
rnacentral:lncRNA from 1 species